GGGGAUGUCGGGUUUCGACAGGCGGUCAGAUUGAAGAUUUGCAGGCCGAGGUGCCGGUCAGCACAUCUCGUUAAACAACCGGCAAAAAAUAGUUGCCAAAACAGCAACACCUUCCUACGCUCUCGCUGCUUAAUAACCAGUGAGUCGUCGUCCUCCUAACUUUCGUCCACGGGGUUAGUAAAGGGCGCCAAAUUACAUGGGCUGCUGUGGUCGCCACCGUCUUCUAACGACCACUUAAGACCAGAGGGCCACCGUAGAGGAAUCCGGUCGAUGGGAGUCCACCACGGAAAGCAAAAACAUCGGCUAAGCCUGUAGCAUAUUCUCCAGUAGGACUGGUUGGACGGGGAGUUCAACUCUCCCCCAUCUCCACCA
rfam:Ktedonobacter racemifer DSM 44963 strain SOSP1-21 Krac_Contig205, whole genome shotgun sequence.